UACGUAGGGUGCGAGCGUUAAUCGGAAUUACUGGGCGUAAAGCGUGCGCAGGCGGCGCGUUAAGACAGGUGUGAAAGCCCCGAGCUUAACUUGGGAAUUGCGCUUGUGACUGGCGUGCUGGAGUGUGGCAGAGGGAGGUGGAAUUCCACGUGUAGCAGUGAAAUGCGUAGAGAUGUGGAGGAACACCGAUGGCGAAGGCGGAUCUCUGGGCCUUGCCUGACGCUGAGGCGCGAAAGCUAGGGGAGCGAACAGG
rnacentral:rRNA from 1 species